CCCUUAGAUGUCCUGGGCCGCACGCGCGCUACACUGACAUGUUCAACAAUCCUCCUAGUUCGACAGGAUUUGGGAAAUCUUUGAACGCAUGUCGUGAUAGGGAUAGAUCAUUGCAAUUAUUGAUCUUGAACGAGGAAUUCCUAGUAAACGCGAGUCAUCAGCUCGCAUUGAUUACGUCCCUGCCCUUUGUACACACCGCCCGUCGCACCUACCGAUUGAAUGUUUCGGUGAAGAUUCCGGAUAGGACUUUUUUGAUUUAUUUCAAUUCUGUCUUAAAAGCUAUCUAAACCUCAACAUUUAGAGGAAGGUGAAGUCGUAACA
rnacentral:rRNA from 1 species